rnacentral:rRNA from 1 species
CGGGUGAGUAACGCGUGGAUAAUCUACCCAUUGGUUCGGAAUAACAGUUGGAAACGACUGAUAAUACUGGAUAAUAUGGCAACGUUAAAGGUGGCCUCUGCUUGCAAGCUACUGCCAAUGGAUGAGUCCGCGUCUCAUUAGCUAGACGGUAGGGUAACGGCCUACCGUGGCAACGAUGAGUAGCAGUCCUGAGAGGGUGGCCUGCCACACUGGGACUGGAACACGGCCCAGACUCCUACGGGAGGCAGCAGUGGGGAAUAUUGCGCAAUGGGGGAAACCCUGACGCAGCGACGCCGCGUGGAGGAUGAAGGUUUUCGGAUCGUAAACUCCUGUCAGAAGGGAAGAAACCUGCAAAAAGUAAUAUGUUUUGCAGCUGACGGUACCUUCAGAGGAAGCACCGGCUAAUUCCGUGCCAGCAGCCGCGGUAAUACGGAAGGUGCAAGCGUUAAUCGGAAUCACUGGGCGUAAAGCGCUCGUAGGUGGCUUUGUAAGUCAGGUGUGAAAGCCCACGGCUCAACCGUGGAAUUGCACUUGAUACUGCAUUGCUUGAGUUCGGGAGAGGGUAGUGGAAUUCCAGGUGUAGGAGUGAAAUCCGUAGAGAUCUGGAGGAACACCAGUGGCGAAGGCGACUACCUGGACCGAUACUGACACUGAGGAGCGAAAGCGUGGGGAGCAAACAGGAUUAGAUACCCUGGUAGUCCACGCUGUAAACGAUGGAUACUAGGUGUCGGG